GACAGAGGCCUCGAGCGUUAGGCGGAAUCACUGGGCCUAAAGCGUGUGUAGGCGGGCCCGUAAGUGUCUUGUGAAAUCCCACGGCUCAACCGUGGAACUGCUGGGCAUACUGCGGGUCUUGGGCCAACUAGGGGCAGCCGGAACAAGCGGUGGAGCGGUGAAAUGCGUAGAUAUCGCUUGGAACGCCGAAGGUGAAAACAGGCUGCUGGGGUUGCGCCGACGCUGAGACACGAAAGCGUGGGGAGCAAACAGG
rnacentral:rRNA from 1 species